rnacentral:rRNA from 1 species
CCUACGGGAGGCAGCAGUGGGGAAUAUUGCACAAUGGGGGAAACCCUGAUGCAGCGACGCCGCGUGAGUGAAGAAGUAAUUCGUUACUUAAAGCUCUAUCAGCAGGGAAGAAACACUGACCUUACGGUCAGCAGACGGUACCUGAGUAAGAAGCCCCGGCGAACUACGUGCCAGCAGCCGCGGGGAUACGUAGGGGGUAAGCGUUAUCCGGAUUUACUGGGGGUAAAGGGGGCGUAGACGGUGCGCCAAGUCUGGAGUGAAAUGCCGCAGCUUAACUGCGGAACUGCUUUGGAAACUGGUGAACGAGAGUGCGGGAGGGGUAAGCGGAAUGCGUAGUGUAGCGGUGAAAUGCGUAGAUAUUAGGAGGAACGCCGGUGGCGAAGGCGGCUUACUGGACCGUAACUGACGUUGAGGCUCGAAAGCGUGGGGAGCGAACAGGAUUAGAUACCCGGGUAGUC